rnacentral:tRNA from 1 species
UGAGAUAUAGCUCAGUUGGUAGAGCGCCUGACUGUUAAUCAGGUUGUUACAGGUUCGAGUCCUGUUAUCUCAG